rnacentral:rRNA from 1 species
UGGACGCAAGUCUGAUGGAGCAACGCCGCGUGAGUGAAGAAGGGUUUCGGCUCGUAAAGCUCUGUUGGUAGUGAAGAAAGAUAGAGGUAGUAACUGGCCUUUAUUUGACGGUAAUUACUUAGAAAGUCACGGCUAACUACGUGCCAGCAGCCGCGGUAAUACGUAGGUGGCAAGCGUUGUCCGGAUUUAUUGGGCGUAAAGCGAGUGCAGGCGGUUCAAUAAGUCUGAUGUGAAAGCCUUCGGCUCAACCGGAGAAUUGCAUCAGAAACUGUUGAACUUGAGUGCAGAAGAGGAGAGUGGAACUCCAUGUGUAGCGGUGGAAUGCGUAGAUAUAUGGAAGAACACCAGUGGCGAAGGCGGCUCUCUGGUCUGCAACUGACGCUGAGGCUCGAAAGCAUGGGUAGCGAACAGGAUUAGAUACCCUGGUAGUCCAUGCCGUAAACGAUGAGUGCUAAGUGUUGGGAGGUUUCCGCCCCUCAGUGCUGCAGCUAACGCAUUAAGCACUCCGCCUGGGGAGUACGACCGCAAGGUUGAAACUCAAAGGAAUUGACGGGGGCCCGCACAAGCGGUGGAGCAUGUGGUUUAAUUCGAAGCAACGCGAAGACCUUACCAGGUCU